rnacentral:lncRNA from 1 species
AAACCAGCAUGGUAAAGGAUGUUCCACAUGAAAUUCCUGGAACAGCAUAAAUGCACGUUGCAACCUGAGGUCCCAGCUUAAUGUUACUCUUGUGGAGUUAUUCGCCUUUUCCCCUUUCCCUGGUUGUGUUCUGAAUGGAACAGGUAUUAUGUGAUUUGUUUCAGUAAAAAGUGGACCUUUAAACUCCAGCAAUUCCACAGGGUGGUAUGAGGGGUCAGUGGGUGGAUCUGCAGUAGAAAAGGGGCUUCUAGUGAAAGGUGGGUACCACAGUGCAGACCUUUUUUUCUACCUUCUUAUUGCACACAGUCAAUUUUUCAUUUCCUCGUCUCUUAGCACAACUGCCUUAUGGCUAGCAUAAAGGGGAAUCUGUGUAAAUUACCUCUUGGGACAAAAAGAGAUGCUUUCAAUAAGGAAGAGUGAUGGUCAGACAUGAUGACAGGGUGAAUGAUACCCAGGAAUAACAGGAGUGAGGCUGAGUAGCCAGGGAGUCUUAGCAGGAAACCUUGAAAUCAGUCUUAGAAGUCAGGCUGACAACUCUUCACCCCAGUCUCUGAAGCUGCUUUGAUGAUUUCCACCAUGAACUUGUGUAAUAUUAGAGAGCAGCUUUCCCUUCUUCCUUCCUUCCUUCCUUUGUUUGUUUGUUUUUUCUUUCCUUUUUUCUGUAAACACUAUGAAUUAAAAGAAACAGACAACAGAGCUAUUAAAGAAUGCUUUGUGCAGUCCUUCAGUAGCUCUCUGUUAAGUGAAAGUUUCACAGUAUGUUAUCCACGUUAGUUUGGAGAAAGAAAGGUCAAAAAGUUAAACUUGGAUAUCUUUAUCUUUUCACAAAGGUUAUUCUAGAAGAGGCUAUAUGUAAAAGGAAAAACAAAAGGUAGAAAUACAUAUAUUACAGGAAAAUGUCCUUUCCUGUAGUCAUUCCAAGUAAUGGCUUUCACCUCGUAGCUAUUCUUUCCAGCAAAAUGUGUGUGUUAUUAUCCUUGGGUAUUAUUUUCUGAUGGUAUCAGUGCAUUGGGUCAUUAUCAAAAAGCUGGUUAUAGCUCUGGACCAUGUUAUUAAAUGCCGUGGAGGUAUGGUUAUUUCUACUACAAUGCUCAAAGAAAGGAGAAAUGUAAACAUACAAGAGGUGGUUCCUAAGAAAUCAAGUUGAACUUUAAACACUGAGACAAUUGGUGCUCAAACUUUUGAGCCUAACUUCCCCUUAGGGGUUAUCAUGCUCUGCUGUGGUUACAAACAUGCUCGAGGAGACACAAACUCAAGUGUAUAGUGAAGCAACCACAUGAUAUAAAUGAGUGAAUUGUGCAGGAUAGAGACCAAGAAGCCAAAAGACACUGCCUACAUGACCCUUCAUCUUGCAAUGAGAAAAAAGCACAAUUGCAAAGUUUAAAAGUGGAAUACAUUCUACUUGAUGUCAGGCAUACAACUGGAAAUGGAAUGACUAUGGCAAGCCAGAUGGCGCAUAAAAAGAAUACUGCUGCAAUUCACCCAAGCCAAGUGUGUCUGCCAUCUUUUUUAAAAGUUUGGAUCAAAGUUUAGGCAAUGAUAAAGGUUGUUUGCAUGUCAAAGAAGAGAAGUUAGCAAUUGAGACACCCUUUAAUACCUGCAUAGGCUCGUGACAUAACCUCCCUGGUUUACUUACACCUCAUAAACUAUGUAGACAUUUCAUGGAUCCAAAGGGUAGAGGGUGUAAUUAUAUCAAGUGCAAGUUUGAGCUAUUAAAAAUUACUCUACCACAUGACUUGGAAGAAUACACCAGCCCUGAAGCAUGGCAGAAAAUAUCAAGAAUAGUAUUGAAGACUGAAAUGGUCUAAAUAUUGGGAUCCAGCAGAUACUGUGAAGUUCAUAAAAUGGAUGGAUCCUGAAUAAUGUCAGUGAUUCAAAAACAUAGCCAUUGACUGUUGAGAAAGAUGGCUGCACAGAUGGAAAGAAAACCAUGAGAGAGGAAGAGAAUGUUCCAACAUUUUAUAUGCUACAUUCCUUCAACAUUUGUGAUGGAGUUCACAUGAAUGGACAUACAGAAUCAGGAAGUGAGAGAUACCCAGCGUGCCCUGCAGGUGCCCACAGUCUGAUCCUCACCUGUAGAGGGGUACUUGUAGGUUCUGUUUUAGAUGUUUUGAGCUCAAGAUACUGGCAGAAUUCUUCCUAAUUUAGAAACCCAAGUCCUGUCCUGACUUUGCCCUCUCGUUUAUCUCCCGUAUCUCCCCAUUUGAUACAUUUUGACUGCAAGUCACCCUGAAGUUCUGUUUCAAAGAGUGCCUGCGGCACAAAAUCUGUAAAGGCUUUGGCAGCAGAUUUUCUCCGUCUGAGAGGCGGCUCUCAGGAUCUGCCAAGGUGCAUCUGGAUGUGCACGGGCCUUUAUGGAAAGCCACGGAAGGCAAGCUGCGGUAAGAAUGAAAGUGCGGAUGACAAAUGGAGCCAUUGCAUUUAGAAUAUCACACUAAAAUGUCUUAGGAAGCGCACUGUGGACAAGGCCCAUUCUGGACAGAUACCAGCCUGCUUUGUCGUCAACCUUGUGGCCAGAACCUAGCUCCAGCAGAUAUUUGAUGCAUCUGUGAGUUUUUAAAGUCACUGUGCUGCACUGUUUCCUUUUACGUUAUAUAAAUUU